AUCUGAAGUCACAACGUGGCUUCUUAUGAACGAGCUGCUCGAUUGCAUAAAAAACGACGCCAGAAUAGAUUAUAUAUUGCUUAUACGAGAGAAUAUAGCGCUGUAAUUACACGAUUCCUACGUAAUAUAAGUCAGCCUUUCAUAGAAUAAGGCAGCAGAUUAUAGAGUAAGGUUUCCAAUCCAGUGACCACUUGCAAUCCAAGAGAAACAUAAUAUAUAGACCUGGUCGUUUGAAACGACCUGAGAAGUCCCAUAACAAAUUCCUUAAAUAAAUGUGAUUAAUCCCAAGUAUGAUUUUUUGUAUGUGUAAUAUUUGGGUCAUUCGAAGAAAUGUAAUAUAUCUUUAUAAUGAAAAAUCCCAUCUUGAUCAACUUUUUCACUGUUAAAGUUUCC